GUCCCUGUUAGAUUAAUGGCUAAGGCGCUUGCAGUUGAACAACGUUCAAUAACAGACGUCCUGGGUUCGAUCCCCAGCAGGGCCA